rnacentral:rRNA from 1 species
AUUGAACGCUAGCGGCAUGCUUAACACAUGCAAGUCGAACGGCAGCGCGGGGAGCUUGCUCCCUGGCGGCGAGUGGCGGACGGGUGAGUAACGCGUAGGAAUCUACUUUUAAGUGGGGGAUAACUCGGGGAAACUCGAGCUAAUACCGCAUAAUCUCUACGGAGUAAAGCGGGGGACCUUCGGGCCUCGUGCUUAAAAAUGAGCCUGCGUCGGAUUAGCUUGUUGGUGGGGUAAAGGCCUACCAAGGCAACGAUCCGUAGCUGGUCUGAGAGGAUGAUCAGCCACACUGGGACUGAGACACGGCCCAGACUCCUACGGGAGGCAGCAGUGGGGAAUAUUGGACAAUGGGGGCAACCCUGAUCCAGCAAUGCCGCGUGUGUGAAGAAGGCCUUCGGGUUGUAAAGCACUUUCAGUAGGGAAGAAAGGCUCAAGGUUAAUACCCUUGAGAGUUGACGUUACCUACAGAAGAAGCACUGGCUAACUCUGUG